UGAACCGUGUACGCAGGACCACACAUGUUUUAAACACCUCCGGGGGUGGUGGCUCCACCACUGCCCUUGUCCAGUGCGGUUUCCAGUUUGAGCUUCACCCGAACAACCUGUUCGCUCUUGUUCUGCCACUUUACAUUUCAGUCUCUUCUCCCGAGCGGUAAGAACAGCUCAGGAGCAAUCCCCACUGAUGUUUGUGAUGUAAAUGCAGCCGUGUCUGGAGCUUUGGACAAGAGGUGCUAUGAAGAAGUUCUUCUCCUUCAGUGGCAGAACAGGCAGCUCUGGACUGCUGAUUCCUGGGAAACUACACCAUGAGAUACAGUCUUGAUUUCUCUGAGACAGUAAAUAGAAGCCUUUAUUCAGGCAGUGCAGUCAACCUCCUGAACAGUGCACUGAAAAUAUAAUUCCCACCAUCAAGAUGCACUUGGUCUGAAGAACUUGCUGCAACAUCUGUAUGUUGUGCUAAAGAAAGCUGUGUGAAGACUCUAAGCUUGUAAACUGAAUUUUUUAACGUUAGUUUUUGUUGGCAUGACUCUGUUAUAUUCAGUUAACAACUAGAUCCUAAAAUAUGCAAGCAUUUGUGUGUGUAUGAUUAAAUAAAUAAACUCACUAAUGACCAUUCUGUAUAUACACAGCCAGGUAAUUCUGUUGUCAAGUUUUCAGACAUUGCAAUUUAA